AAAUAUCACACUCGUCUGGAUAAGAGUGGCCGUUCUCCCGACCCACCCCGCGCGCGCGAACCCGUGGCCCUCGCGCGCUCAUGGCUUCUUCCUCCUCCGUCUUCUCCCCGCUCCUGCGGCCUACACUCCGGCUGCCGGUCGCGUCGGUAACCACGCGCUCCUCUGUUCCCCACGCUGUGUCGGUGGACAACGCGGCCGCUGCCACGCAGCCGGCGCCGCUCGCGGUUGUCAGUCACAGGAGGGAGCUGGUGGUGGGAACAGCACUCGGCGCGCUGUUCUCGGCGACAACGUUGCCCGUAGGGGCGCGCGAGGUCGAGGCCGGCAAGUACCUGCCGCCGGCGCCAUCCAGCCCGGGCUUCGUGUUCUUCAAGGCCACCACCAAGGACACCCCUGCCCUCCGGGCUGGCAAUGUAGAACCUUACGAGUUCAUCCUACCGCCCACCUGGAAGCAGCUGCGAGUGGCCAACAUACUGUCCGGCAACUACUGCCAGCCCAAGUGCGCGGAGCCAUGGGUGGAGGUGAAAUUCGAGGACGAGAGGCAGGGCAAAGUGCAGGUGGUGGCCUCGCCGCUCAUCCGCCUGACCAACCGGCCGAACGCCACCAUCGAGGACAUCGGCAGCCCCGAGAAGCUGAUCGCCUCCCUGGGGCCCUUCGUCACCGGCAACACCUUGGAACCCGAGGAGAUCAUCGAGACCUCUGUCGAGAAGAUCGGCGACCUAACUUACUACAGCUAUGUGCUGGAGACUCCACUGGCACUGACGGGUUCCCACAAUCUGGCCAAGGCCACGGCCAAGGGGAGCACGGUGGUGCUCUUCGUCGCGAGCGCCAGCGACAAGCAGUGGCAGUCGUCGCAAAAGAUCCUGAAGGCUAUGGUAGAUUCAUUCCAAAUAUGAUUGCAGCAAGUGGGGGCUUGGCCUCCAGACCUGGACGCGCGGGUUUGCUUGCAUUACUUCCACGAGAGAAACUGGUACCUGUUUUUGAGGCUUGGAACACUUGUAAUGAGCUCCUUGAUCGACUAAGGAAAAAAGUCUUGAGUCUGAAUUUUCUACCAUGCACGUGAGGUACCAUUGCAGCGCUUGGAGCAUCUCUAGCCGAUCUCUUAAAAUACUUUAGAGGAGCAAAAAUAUAUUUUAAGGGCCUAAAUGGGAUCUAGCUGUUCGACUUCGUAUUGUAGCCUUAUUGUGUAAUCCAUACCAUAUUGGUAUAGAACUUGUAUGACAUCAUUAUAUAUA